UACGUAGGGUGCAAGCGUUGUCCGGAAUUAUUGGGCGUAAAGGGCUCGUAGGCGGUCCAUCGCGUCGGGAGUGAAAAGCUGGGGCUCAACCCCAGUCCUGCUUCCGAUACGGGUGGACUAGAGGUAUGCAGGGGAGAACGGAAUUCCUGGUGUAGCGGUGAAGUGCGCAGAUAUCAGGAGGAACACCGGUGGCGAAGGCGGUUCUCUGGGCAUUACCUGACGCUGAGGAGCGAAAGCGUGGGGAGCAAACAGG
rnacentral:rRNA from 1 species